UGGCGAAUAAUCACCGGAU
rnacentral:snRNA from 1 species